rfam:Triticum aestivum genome assembly, contig: Triticum_aestivum_CS42_TGACv1_scaffold_486445_6AS
AUAUUACUCCCUCCAUCCAAAAAUAUUUGUCAUCAAAAUAGACAAAAAGGCAUGUAUUUCGAACUAAAAUACAUCUAGAUAUAUCUCCUUUUAUUUAUUUUGAUGACAAGUAUUUCCGGACGGAGGAGUAGAAA